UGGGGAAUCUUAGACAAUGGGCGAAAGCCUGAUCUAGCGAUGCCGCGUGAGUGACGAAGGCCUUAGGGUCGUAAAGCUCUUUCGCCAGGGAUGAUAAUGACAGUACCUGGUAAAGAAACCCCGGCUAACUCCGUGCCAGCAGCCGCGGUAAUACGGAGGGGGUUAGCGUUGUUCGGAAUUACUGGGCGUAAAGCGCACGUAGGCGGAUUGGAAAGUAGGGGGUGAAAUCCCAGGGCUCAACCCUGGAACUGCCUCCUAAACUAUCAGUCUAGAGUUCGAGAGAGGUAAGUGGAAUUCCGAGUGUAGAGGUGAAAUUCGUAGAUAUUCGGAGGAACACCAGUGGCGAAGGCGGCUUACUGGCUCGAUACUGACGCUGAGGUGCGAAAGUGUGGGGAGCAAACAGGAUUAGAUACCCUGGUAGUCCACACCGUAAACGAUGAAUGCCAGACGUCAGGGGGCUUGCCCUUUGGUGUCACACCUAACGGAUUAAGCAUUCCGCCUGGGGAGUACGGUCGCAAGAUUAAACUCAAAAGGAAUUG
rnacentral:rRNA from 1 species